rnacentral:rRNA from 1 species
UACGUAGGUGGCGAGCGUUAUCCGGAUUCAUUGGGCGUAAAGAGCUUGUAGGUGGCUAUGUAAGUUGGACGUAAAAACUCUGGGCUUAACUUGGAGAUGCCGUUCAAUACUGCGUAGCUAGAGGAUGUCAGAGGGAAGUGGAAUUCCUGGAGUAGCAGUGAAAUGCGUAGAUACCAGGAGGAACACCCGUGGCGAAGGCGGCUUCCUGGGACAUACCUGACACUGAGAAGCGAAAGCCAGGGGAGCAAAC